GAUCGGAUCGUUUUGUAGUUUUGCACCAAAUAUCUCAGCGGGACCGGAAGUACGAUUUCUGAUUUGCACCUGUAGAUUUCGGAUUUGCACCUGUACAUUUCGGAUUUGCACCUGUAGAUUUUGGAUUUGCACCUGUAGAUUUUGGAUUUGCACCUGUAGAAAACAGAGAAUGUGUGACUCGUGGGGAGGAUUUGAGUGGUUGCCAACCCAUUUAUGACUGUGCCAACAGGAGGCGCAUAACCACAGUCCAACCACCACCUCUGUGUACCUAGCCACCAUCAGAAUCCGCUCUGACACAGGAAACCUGUCUUUCAACAGGGCGCAUACGUCGAGAGGCAACACACUGUGCUUCUGUGUAAGUUCAAAUCUAAUCAUUUAUCAAACUGCACAACCGGAACUAACAGAAAGUCCUCUUGAACAGUGUCAUGCAGCACUGAAAUACCUCUACCCACUCGGUGCUCCAGCCUAGUUUUGCUCGGCAGAUUUAUCCUGCUUUAAUGUCUUAUCAGCAGAUUCCUGCACUCAGCUGAGCAGAAGUCAC